rnacentral:rRNA from 1 species
CCUACGGGAGGCUGCAGUGAGGAAUAUUGGUCAAUGGCCGGAAGGCUGAACCAGCCAUGCCGCGUGAAGGUCAGUGCCCUAUGGGCGUUAAACUUCUUUUGUGCGGGAGCAAUAAUGGUCACGUGUGGCCAGACGAGAGUACCGUACGACUAAGCAUCGGCUAACUCCGUGCCAGCAGCCGCGGUAAUACGGGGGAUGCAAGCGUUAUCCUGGUUUAUUGGGUUUAAAGGGGGCGUAGGCUGGUAGGUAAGUCAGCGGGGAAAUGCCCCCGCUCAACGGGGUGAAGUGCCAUUGAUACUGCCUAGCUGGAAUGCGGAUGCCGUGAGAGGAAUGUGUGGUGUAGCGGUGAAAUGCAUAGAUAUCACACAGAACACCGAUUGCGAAGGCAUCUCACGAAUCCGCGAUUGACGCUGAUGCACGAAAGCGUGGGUAUCAAACAGGAUUAGAUACCCCGGUAGUC